CAGAAAUUUAUUUUCUCAUGGUUCUGAAGCUGGAGGUCUGAGAUCAAGAUGUCAGCAAGGUGAGGCGAAGAGCAGAGCUGUGGACGCCACUGGGGUGUGACAGGCAGCUGGGCAAGGAUCCAUCCAGGAAGAGGGUGACUGACUUCUGUGGACCAGUGAGCCAUAAUGAAAGAAAACCUCAUUCUCCUUCCCCCAUUCACAAAAAAACAAGAAUUCUGGACUGUGCAUACUGUUUCGCCGGCUGUCAAAUGACAACAGAGCUAUGGCUGAAAUGACCACGAAGCCGCCUUGAAUUGCGUUGAAUCUGGGAGGUAGAUGGAGCACACCAUCUCUUCCUCCAGCUUCCUAGUCUUCUGGUACGCAGGAAGGGUACUUCUGUAGCAGACUCAGUCUGGGAGAACGCUGCUGUUGACUUACUAAAGGAAGGCCUUCCUUAUCGCCCAGAACCCAAACGGAGCUCCAGGCGGUGUCCCAAAUGACAGCGGCCUCUCAGAUGGUUGCACCUUCAACUACUGAUAAGGGGUCAAAUAAAGUUAAGGACGCAUCACUUGGCCCAGUUAUUGCACUAAUAUCCAAGUAAUGCUCUUGUCAGCGAAUUGCGCCUUUUGUUCCUUUGAAGUGGGCAGUGAUACAAAGUGACUUUUUAUUCACUCAGAAAACAGAGGCUCUCAACACCGCUUACACCUGCCCCACCAACUGGAUGGCAAGAGCUCUGCUUCCCCGAUAUGCCCUCCUCCUCCCUCCUUCCCCACCUUCAGGUAACCCUAAAGAUGGAGAGUCAGAUGGGUGCCUGCCUUCCUCUCCUACUGCUACCAGCUUCUGGCCGGACCCCCCGGGCCCCCACUCAAGUGUUCACGCGGCGAGUGUGAGCGCGCGGGUGUGCGAGCAGCAGACUCACGAGCAGACGCUUGUUGCGCCCGCUGCCGCGACGUGGGGAAGUGAAAAUGAAAUUGACUUUUCAGAGAAAUGAUGAAAGCGGCGCUGCCUGCCAAUGAACGGCGGCGGCGAACUUCCGCACCUCCCGGCCCGGCCGCUCGCG